UUAGUUGCAUAUUAUGCAAUGUAAACAACUGAAUAGAGUUGUAUAGUAUGAUAUAAUCACUUACAGAGGAUCCAGGUUCUCCUUUACGUCCUGGAAGAACCUCCAUACCUCCCAUAACAUAGCCCGGUUCACCCUACAUGAAUAAAAAUAAAUACAAUUAAAAUGAAAACCACUAUACAACAUAUCAAAUGUUUGGCAAUUACUAAACGUACUCUCUCUCCUCUCUGUCCUUUAGGUCCAGUAUUACCAGGAGGCCCCUGAGAUUGUGAAGAAGAGAAAUAGGAAGAGAUGUAAAGAAAAGGAGAACCAGGAGGUCCAGUUCUACCCGGUCUUCCUGGUAAACCCGGAAUUCCAUCCGUUCCAGAAAGACCCUAAUGAAUGCAAACAAACCGGGAAUGAAGAUUCAUAUAAGACAUGGUAUGACAGUUGUAGUGAGGAUGUAGAGGAAGUGUUUACCUUGCAGCUAAGUGGACAGGGCCCUUCUGGUUUACUGAGAGCUUCUGGGUCAUCUGUAGGCUUCGCUACAGAUGCUGUGGAUAAACUCUCUCUCGAUGCCUGGAAGAUCGUCGAAAUCAUUGGCCAAGAAGAUGUUUGUUUGAUAUUACUCACCCAGAGCAUGUGCUAUCCUGGACGGUGGCUCUACGUCAUCCUGUGCUCUCCCGUCUGUCAGUAAC